CCAGGUGCGGUGGCCUCCCCCAGCCGCUGCAGAAGCGGGGAUUCCCACUCCCGCCUGGCUCCGGAGUGGCAAAGGGAGUACCUGUCAGCAUCUGCAAGAGAUAGUUAUAGUGAGAGCACAAGCAGGAGGGUCAGAUGGAGAGGAAAAGAGAAUCAAGCUGACUCUGCACUGAGUGCAGGGCCUGACACGGGGCUCAGUCUCAGGACCCUGAGAUCACGACCUGAGCUGAAAGCAAGAGCCUGAUGCUUAAUCCAAGAGCCUGAUGCGGUAGAUCCCAGGACACUGAGAUCAUGACCUGAGCUGAAGGCAGAGGCUGUAACC